rnacentral:rRNA from 1 species
GCGGGAUAACGACUCGAAAGAGUUGCUAAUACCGCAUAAGCUCACGGCUUCUAGAGAGUUGUGAGAAAAGGUGCGAAUCACUGAGAGACGGGGCUGCGACCCAUCAGCUAGUUGGCGAGGUAAAGGCUCACCAAGGCGACGACGGGUAGGGGACCUGAGAGGGUGACCCCCCACACUGGGACUGAGACACGGCCCAGACUCCUACGGGAGGCAGCAGUGAGGAAUAUUGCACAAUGGGCGCAAGCCUGAUGCAGCGACGCCGCGUGGGUGAAGAAGGUCUUCGGAUCGUAAAGCCCUUUUCUGCGUGACGAGACAGGACGGUAGCGCAGGAAUAAGUCUCGGCUAACUACGUGCCAGCAGCCGCGGUAAAACGUAGGAGACAAACGUUAUCCGGAGUUACUGGGCGUAAAGGGCGUGUAGGCGGUCUGUCAAGUCUGGCGUGAAAGCUCUCGGCUAAACCGGGAGGGGUCGUUGGAUACUGGCAUGACUGGAGGAUGGUAGAGGCGUGUGGAAUUCCGGGUGUGGUGGGGAAAUGCGUAGAGAUCCGGAGGAACACCAGUGGCGAAGGCGACACGCUGGGCCAUACCUGACGCUAAAGCGCGACAGCAUGGG